UUUGAGCGGGCUAUCAUGCAGUCGAGCGGAAGAAGGGAGCUUGCUCCCGGAUGUUAGCGGCGGACGGGUGAGUAACACGUGGGUAACCUGCCUGUAAGACUGGGAUAACUCCGGGAAACCGGAGCUAAUACCGGAUAGUUCCUUGAACCGCAUGGUUCAAGGAUGAAAGACGGUUUCGGCUGUCACUUACAGAUGGACCCGCGGCGCAUUAGCUAGUUGGUGAGGUAACGGCUCACCAAGGCGACGAUGCGUAGCCGACCUGAGAGGGUGAUCGGCCACACUGGGACUGAGACACGGCCCAGACUCCUACGGGAGGCAGCAGUAGGGAAUCUUCCGCAAUGGACGAAAGUCUGACGGAGCAACGCCGCGUGAGUGAUGAAGGUUUUCGGAUCGUAAAGCUCUGUUGUUAGGGAAGAACAAGUGCAAGAGUAACUGCUUGCACCUUGACGGUACCUAACCAGAAAGCCACGGCUAACUACGUGCCAGCAGCCGCGGUAAUACGUAGGUGGCAAGCGUUGUCCGGAAUUAUUGGGCGUAAAGGGCUCGCAGGCGGUUUCUUAAGUCUGAUGUGAAAGCCCCCGGCUCAACCGGGGAGGGUCAUUGGAAACUGGGAAACUUGAGUGCAGAAGAGGAGAGUGGAAUUCCACGUGUAGCGGUGAAAUGCGUAGAGAUGUGGAGGAACACCAGUGGCGAAGGCGACUCUCUGGUCUGUAACUGACGCUGAGGAGCGAAAGCGUGGGGAGCGAACAGGAUUAGAUACCCUGGUAGUCCACGCCGUAAACGAUGAGUGCUAAGUGUUAGGGGGUUUCCGCCCCUUAGUGCUGCAGCUAACGCAUUAAGCACUCCGCCUGGGGAGUACGGUCGCAAGACUGAAACUCAAAGGAAUUGACGGGGGCCCGCACAAGCGGUGGAGCAUGUGGUU
rnacentral:rRNA from 1 species